rnacentral:rRNA from 1 species
AAGACCUUGCGCUUUUGGAGCGGCCGAUGUCUGAUUAGCUUGUUGGUAAGGUAAAAGCUUACCAAGGCUUCGAUCAGUAGCUGGUCUGAGAGGACGGCCAGCCACACUGGGACUGAGACACGGCCCAGACUCCUACGGGAGGCAGCAGUGGGGAAUUUUGGACAAUGGGGGCAACCCUGAUCCAGCCAUGCCGCGUGAGUGAAGAAGGCCUUCGGGUUGUAAAGCUCUUUCAGCCGGAACGAAACGGUUACGGUUAAUACCCGUGACUACUGACGGUACCGGAAGAAGAAGCACCGGCUAACUACGCGCCAGCAGCCGCGGUAAUACGUAGGGUGCAAGCGUUAAUCGGAAUUACUGGGCGUAAAGCGUGCGCAGGUGGUUUUGUAAGUCAGAUGUGAAAUCCCCGGGCUUAACCUGGGAACU